GAUCUGGUUCAGGAUGAACGCUGGCGGCGCGCCUAACACAUGCAAGUCGAACGGUUAAAGCCCCUUCGGGGGUGCAUAAAGUGGCGAACGGCUGAGUAACACGUGGGCAACCUGCCCCCCGCUUCGGGAUAGCCUCGGGAAACCGUGGGUAAUACCGGAUACUCCGCCCACCCCGCAUGGGGAGGGCGGGAAAGCGCAUACGGCGGGGGAUGGGCCCGCGGCCUGUUAGCUCGUUGGCGGGGUAACGGCCCACCAAGGCUAUUAUGGGUAGCCGGGUUGAGAGACCGACCGGCCAGAUUGGGACUGAGACACGGCCCAGACUCCUACGGGAGGCAGCAGUGGGGAAUCUUGCACAAUGGGCGAAAGCCUGAUGCAGCCGACGCCGCGUGCGGGAUGAAGGCCCUCGGGUUGUAAACCGCUUUCAGCAGGGACGAGGCGCAAGUGACGGUACCUGCAGAAGAAGCCCCGGCUAACUACGUGCCAGCAGCCGC
rnacentral:rRNA from 1 species